rnacentral:misc_RNA from 1 species
CCUUAAAAACUUCCAAAUUUUCAACACAACAAGUGCAAACACACCACUUUUGGGUGUACAUUUCCAAGAGAAGAGCAAUAAGAAUUUGAAAUUGUUCUUCUGAUUGUGAAUAUUCUUCAUAAUUGACGCCAUUAUAUGAUAAAUCAAACAUGUAUUUUAGGAAACAAUGCAGAUGCAGCUUUGCAUUGUGUGAGCAAAAACACAAGCAGGUGGCAUGCAUAAGUUAUGUGUCGUGAUUACACAUUUCUAAAGCACUUUGCAUCAAAUGAAGCAAUUCGG